UACGUAGGGUGCAAGCGUUAAUCGGAAUUACUGGGCGUAAAGCGUGCGCAGGCGGUUAUGCAAGACAGAUGUGAAAUCCCCGGGCUUAACCUGGGAACCGCAUUUGUGACUGCAUAGCUGGAGUACGGCAGAGGGGGAUGGAAUUCCGCGUGUAGCAGUGAAAUGCGUAGAUAUGCGGAGGAACACCGAUGGCGAAGGCAGUCCCCCUGGGCCUGUACUGACGCUCAUGCACGAAAGCGUGGGGAGCAAACAGG
rnacentral:rRNA from 1 species